rnacentral:rRNA from 1 species
GAUCAACUUACCCUAUGGAAAACAAUAACCUCUGGAAACGGAGGAUAAUGGUUUAUAGUUGAAAAGGCUUGGAAAAGUUUUUCAAUAAAAGGGAAUAAUAAAAAUGGUUAUUAUUUCGCCAUAGGAUAGGAUUGCGGUCGAUUAUGGCUGUUGGUGAGGUAAUGGCUCACCAAACCGAUAAUCGAUAGGGGCCGUGAGAGCGGGAGCCCCGAGAUGGGUACUGAGACAAUGACCCAGGCCUUACGAGGUGCAGCAGGCGCGAAAACUCCGCAAUACACGAAAGUGUGACGGGGUUACCCAAGGUGCUUAAUUUUUAAGCUGUGGUAGGUGUGUAAUGUACCCUACUAGAAAGGAGAGGGCAAGGCUGGUGCCAGCCGCCGCGGUAAAACCAGCUCUUCAAGUGGUCGGGAUAUUUAUUGGGCUUAAAGUGUCCGUAGCUUGUAUGAUAAGUUCCUGGUAAAAUCUAAUAGCUUAACUAUUAGUAUGCUAGGAAUACUGUUAUACUAGAGGGCGGGAGAGGUCUGAGGUACUUCAGGGGUAGGGGUGAAAUCUUAUAAUCCUUGAAGGACCACCAGUGGCGAAGGCGUCAGACUGGAACGCGCCUGACAGUGAGGGACGAAAGCCAGGGGAGCGAACCGGAUUAGAUACCCGGGUAGUCCUGGCCGUAAACGAUGCACACUAGGUGUUGGUAUGGCUAUGAGCCAUAUCAGUGCCGAAGGGAAACCAUUAAGUGUGCCGCCUGGGAAGUACGGUCGCAAGGCUAAAACUUAA